rfam:Sphingobium sp. Ant17 Contig_156, whole genome shotgun sequence.
GCACCCGUAGCUCAGCAGGAUAGAGCAUUAGAUUCCUAAUCUAAGGGCCAUGGGUUCGAAUCCCGUCGGGUGCA